rnacentral:rRNA from 1 species
UGGGGAAUAUUGGACAAUGGGGGCAACCCUGAUCCAGCCAUGCCGCGUGAGUGAAGAAGGCCUUAGGGUUGUAAAGCUCUUUCAGUCGUGACGAUGAUGACGGUAGCGACAGAAGAAGCCCCGGCUAACUCCGUGCCAGCAGCCGCGGUAAUACGGAGGGGGCAAGCGUUGUUCGGAUUUACUGGGCGUAAAGGGCGCGUAGGCGGGGUAUCCAGUUAGGGGUGAAAGCCCGGGGCUCAACCUCGGAACUGCCCUUGAAACUAGUACGCUAGAAUACUGGAGAGGUGAGUGGAAUUCCGAGUGUAGAGGUGAAAUUCGUAGAUAUUCGGAAGAACACCAGUGGCGAAGGCGACUCACUGGACAGUUAUUGACGCUGAGGUGCGAAAGCGUGGGGAGCAAACAGGAUUAGAUACCCGCGUAGUCC